ACUCAAAGGAAUAGACGGGGACCCGCACAAGCGGUGGAGCAUGUGGAUUAAUUCGAUACUAACCGAAGAACCUUACCCAGACUUGACAUCGAUGGUAACUUCCAGAAAUGGAAUCCUCAGCCCACAAGGCUGACCUGAAGACAGAUGUUGCAUGGCUGUCGUCAGCUCGUGCCGUGAGGUGUUUGGUUAAGUCCAGCAACGAGCGCAACCCUCAUCUCGUGUUACUAGCAGGUAAAGCUGAGGACUCACGAGAAACUGCCCGUGUAAACGGGAGGAAGGUGAGGAUGACGUCAAGUCAGCAUGGCUCUUACGUCUGGGGCUUCACACAUGCUACAAUGGGCGCAACAAACGGCAGCAAUACCGCGAGGUGGAGCUAAUCCGAAAAAUACGCCCCCAGUUCAGAUUGCAGUCUGCAACUCGACUGCAUGAAGGCGGAAUCGCUAGUAACCGCAGGUCAGCUAUACUGCGGUGAAUACGUUCCCGGGUCUUGUACACACCGCCCGU
rnacentral:rRNA from 1 species